GGGCUGAGUAAUGAAUGUGAUUCAUGUAACUCAUUUGACCCAGAGAGUCAACACAAUGUCUCAGACGUGGGGUGCUUUUGCAAGAAAGGAACUAGCAUUUACUUGGAACUUCCUCUCUAUCCAGCACCAGUCCAGGACCACUACAUAAUCCUCUGUCUGAUUUAAUUUUCAAACCAGAUUGUAGGGGAGGUUUUAUUAUCCUCCUUUGCCAGAUGAGAAAACUGAGGAACCACAUCACAGUUUCAUGAUUAGCAAGGAAUAAGGUAGCACUUGAACUCAUGUCUUUCUAACACCAAAGCUUGUGCUCCUUCCUCUUCACUGAAAGCCUGAAAGUCUGUAGAGGAAAUAAUCAGAAGGUGACUAAGAGUGACGUUUGCAUGAGGAAGAGAAGAGAUACUUCCACAAUGAGCAAAAAUAUGGUAUACGAGGAUGGAACAUGAGAAAAGAAAGUAAGCAUACAAUUGAUGUCAGAGGGCCCCAGCAUCUUCACACUUACACUAAUUUGCAUUGUAUUAUAAUAAAUGAAAGAUGAGAUGAGCCUGAGCCAAGCCAGGGCAAGGGUUGGGAACAGAGAGAAGCAGGAAGAUUCAAGAGAUGUCAGUGAUGUAAAUGGAUGUAGACACUACAUUGCAAAGUGCCGUCAACAGACCCUGGUUAACUGGCUCCCACUCAAAGUGGGAGAGCUUUGACUUAUCAGUUGGAUCCUACUGGGAUGGGGGUCCUUUCUUAACAUACACCUUGACUUUAGUUUUUAUUGUUUGUUAAAUUCUGAAAUUUAUAAUAGUUUUGUACAGAACAACUUAAUUCACACAGUAGAAUGUGUGCUAAAUUGUAAGCUUAAGUAUAUGUCCAUAUGCCAACCAAAAAGUAAUUGUUUUUUAUAUAACUGUUCAGAUAUAACUACAUUGUAGUACUAGUCUUAGAUGUCAAUCCUUCCUCACUGAGAUGAAACACUUAGCCAGAUGUAUUUAAGAAAAAUUGUUUUGGUUUUGUCCUGUCCAGUUCCUCUUUUCUCGCCUCUGUGUGUGUGUGUGUGUAUGAUUAUGUACACAUUCUGUUCUUCUGUAUUUAUGCUAAACAACUUGUUUCAUCUCAGCUGGACACUUUGCUGUGUCUACUUGGACAUGUUAAUUACAGAAUGCUAUCAAUCUUUCAGUCUGCCAUCAUCAAUGUUCUUCAACUAUGUUCCAAACAGACUCAGAGAAUAUACGUUUUCAGAAGGACGUGGAAUAAAAUAACACCUGCCCUCGG
rnacentral:lncRNA from 1 species